GGGGGUGUAUGUGGAGUAAUUUCAUUCAGAAAAAUGCGGCAUCGACGAAGACACGCCCACUGCGGUCCACCGCCAUUGUUGUGCUCCUUUUUGAACUGUCCACGGUCCUGAAACGCAGUAAUGACUCAUGGGUGCAUUCGACGGCCACUUCAUUAGUGUGAAGUCCAAGGUCACGGAACAAAUAUGAGAAAGGCAGAGAGGCUUCCCCGGCUUGACGGCGAGCGUGGGUGCCCGCAUCACCAGUGGGCGGGGCUACCGCGUGGAAGGGAAUCACGACCAUAUAAGGACAAUUCCUGCCUGUGAGGUGACGUCGUCGGCGCGUGACUCUCCCAAAUCACCUUCACUCACGUAUGCACAUUUGCGU